ACCUCCUUAGCUCAGUUGGUUAGAGCAUCUGACUGUUAAUCAGAGGGUCCUUGGUUCGAGCCCAAGAGGAGGAG
rnacentral:tRNA from 1 species